UUACUACUUUGAGGUACGACUCAGGUACGGAUCGAUACGGACUAAUACGUUUCUAUCCGCGGCUAGACGAAGCUAUCCGCGCCGUAUGUUUGACUGGGGUUUUACAUUUUAUCUAUUCUACGUGUUUGAACAUUGCACUUGUCACGUUGUUUAUGUAAAUUUAUCUAUUAUACAUGCUUGGACUUCGCACUUUAACUUACUUGAUACUAUCUAGGACGGAGCUACAAAUACAGUUUCAGUUAAAUUCAAUUUCGAAAAUAUUUGGAUCAUGUUUCAAGAUCUGCGUACUUCUAGUAUUUGAAUAUGAAGGGGAAAGCCCAUAAUUUUUCAAGUAGAUGGAAUACUGUAAUGCGCAAAUGUCAUAGUGCGAAAUAGACCGAAUUGAACAAACCGGUUGAUUUUGACGAAAUGACAAUGGCAGCGUCACAGCAAGUCGUUAAACCAGUGCAGUCAGCCCAAAAAAUGACAGAAACAAAUGCAGUUACUACAGGUCUUGAUGUUACCACGGAAUCAGAGGAAGUCUUCGAGAUGUAUUGCGAGCCUUGCAACAGAGGAAGGUACUGCCGUGACGGCGAUCUGCGUUUUGCCCCUCCUGUGUAGAUCACCUCUGUGCAACAUGCUUAAAAUAUCACAGAACGGUUUCUCUCUGAGCAUGCAUAUUUGGACAAUGAUAAAAUGUCUCGGGACAUAUGUCUUGAAAAAUGUCCAACACAUACAAAUGAAAUUAUCAAAUUUUACUGCGCUACUUGUAAGACAUUUGCGUGUUCAGUAUGUAAGAAAAAGGGCCACACUGUGUCAGCUAUCCUGCAGAUUUAAAUACCUUUCGGACUUUGGUCAACGAUCUUGAGAUUGAAUCAGGUUUGAAGAAGUUAAUCUCUAAAAGCGACUGACGUUGUGAAAAAGUGUUUCAGAAACAGAGCAGCUA
rnacentral:lncRNA from 1 species